AACGAACGCUGGCGGCAUGCCUAACACAUGCAAGUCGAACGAGACCUUCGGGUCUAGUGGCGCACGGGUGCGUAACGCGUGGGAAUCUGCCCUUGGGUUCGGAAUAACAGUUAGAAAUGACUGCUAAUACCGGAUGAUGACUUCGGUCCAAAGAUUUAUCGCCCAGGGAUGAGCCCGCGUAGGAUUAGCUUGUUGGUGAGGUAAAGGCUCACCAAGGCGACGAUCCUUAGCUGGUCUGAGAGGAUGAUCAGCCACACUGGGACUGAGACACGGCCCAGACUCCUACGGGAGGCAGCAGUGGGGAAUAUUGGACAAUGGGCGAAAGCCUGAUCCAGCAAUGCCGCGUGAGUGAUGAAGGCCUUAGGGUUGUAAAGCUCUUUUACCCGGGAUGAUAAUGACAGUACCGGGAGAAUAAGCCCCGGCUAACUCCGUGCCAGCCGCCGCAGUAACAC
rnacentral:rRNA from 1 species